rnacentral:rRNA from 1 species
UGGUCAAGUGAGUGUGGCAUACGGUGGAUGCCUUGGCACCAGGCGCCGAUGAAGGACGUGGGAGGCCGCGAUAGUCCACGGGGAGUUGUCAACCGAGCGGUGAUCCGUGGGUGUCCGAAUGGGGAAACCUAACCUCCGUCAUGGGGGGUUGCUGCCGUCUGAAUGUAUAGGGCGGUUGGUGGUGACGCGGGGAAGUGAAACAUCUCAGUACCCGUAGGAAAAGAAAACAAUAGUGAUUCCCUGAGUAGUGGUGAGCGAACGGGGAUGAGGGCUAAACCAUGCGCGUGUGAGACUCGGCAGGGGUUGCGUGUGUGGGGUUGUGGGAUGUGCCUGUCCAGUUCUGCCGGGCUGGAGUGUGGGCUGCUGUUGCUAGUCGAAGCUGGUGGGAUCCAGCGCCGGAGAGGGUGAGAGUCCCGUAGGUGAAGGUGGCGGUAGUUGCAUUGGGCAUGGUCCCGAGUAGCGCGGAGCUCGUGAAAUUCCGUGUGAAUCUGGCAGGACCACCUGUCAAGCCUGAAUACGUCCUGGUGACCGAUAGUGGACGAGUACCGUGAGGGAAAGGUGAAAAGCGCCCCGGUGAGGGGUUGUGAAAUAGUUCCUGAAACCGUGUGCUGUCAAGCCGUCAGAGCCUUCGGGUGAUGGCGUGCCUUUUGAAGAAUGAGCCUGCGAGUUGUGCUGCGUGGCGAGGUUAACCCGGGUGGGGGAGCCGGAGCGAAAGCGAGUCCUAAUGGGGCGGUGGAGUCGCGUGGUGCAGACCCGAAACGGAGUGAUCUACCCAUGUCCAGGGUGAAGCGGCUGUAAGAGGUCGUGGAGGCCCGCACCCACCAGGGUUAAAAACCUGGGGGAUGAGGUGUGGGUAGGGGUGAAAGGCCAAUCAAACUCUGUGAUAGCUGGUUCUCCCCGAAAUGCAUUUAGGUGCAGCGUCGUGUGGUUCUUGGUGGAGGUAGAGCUACUGGUUGGUCGAUGGGCCCGCGAGGGUUACUGAGAUCAGCUAAACUCCGAAUGCCAUCAAGUGGAGCGCGGCAGUGAGACGGCGGGGGAGAAGCUUCGUCGUCGAGAGGGAAACAGCCCAGAUCAUCAGCUAAGGCCCCUAAGCGUGCGCUAAGUGGGAAAGGUUGUGGAGUUGCGGUGACAACCAGGAGGUUGGCUUAGAAGCAGCCAUCCUUGAAAGAGUGCGUAAUAGCUCACUGGUCAAGUGGUUCUGCGCCGAUAAUGUAGCGGGGCUGAAGCGUACCGCCGAAGCUGUGGAGCCCCCUCUGUGGGGGUUGGUAGGGGAGCGUCGUGCGCGCGGGGAAGCGGCCGGGUGACCGUGUCGUGGAGCGUGUGCGAGUGAGAAUGCAGGCAUGAGUAGCGAUUCCAGUGUGAGAAACACUGGCGCCGAUUGACUAAGGGUUCCUGGGGCAGGUUAAUCCGCCCAGGGUGAGUCGGGGCCUAAGGCGAGGCCGUCAGGCGUAGUCGAUGGAUAACGGGUUGAUAUUCCCGUACCCGUCCGGUCGCGUCCAAUACCGGGGCCCGUGAUGCUAACCACCUCGCCACGCUGUUGUGGUUUCGACCAUGAUGGUGGUGGUGGGCUGGGAUCCGAGCGGGUAGUAGGUAAGUGAUGGGGUGACGCAGGAGGGUAGCCCAUCCCAGGCGGUGGUUGUCCUGGGGUAAGCGUGUAGCCCGGAGCAUAGGCAAAUCCGUGCUUCGUGUGGGUGAGGCGUGAUGCCGAGGCGUGGAGCCGAAGUGGGUGAUCCCAUGCUGUCGAGAAAAGCCUCUAGCGAGUGGCUGGGCGGCCCGUACCCGAAACCGACGCAGGUGGUCAGGUCGAGUAGACCGAGGCGUUCGGGUGAACCAUGGUUAAGGAACUCGGCAAAUUGUCCCCGUAACUUUGGGAGAAGGGGAGCCCGGUUUGGUGAUCAUCCGGAGCGGUGUGAGCUGAGCUGGGCCGCAGAGACCAGGGGGAAGCGACUGUUUAUUAAAAACACAGGUCCGUGCGAAGUCGUAAGACGCGGUAUACGGACUGACGCCUGCCCGGUGCCGGAACGUUACGAGGACCGGUUAGCCCGUUUUCGGGUGAAGCUGGGAAUCUAAGCGCCGGUAAACGGCGGUGGUAACUAUAACCAUCCUAAGGUAGCGAAAUUCCUUGUCGGGUAAGUUCCGACCUGCACGAAUGGCGUAACGACUUCCCCGCUGUCUCAACCAUGGGCCCGGUGAAAUUGCACUACGAGUAAAGAUGCUCGUUUCGCGCAGCAGGACGGAAAGACCCCGGGACCUUCACUACAGCUUGAUAUUGGUGUCUGGGUGGGUUUGUGUAGGAUAGGUGGGAGCCUGUGAAGCCACGACGCCAGUCGGGGUGGAGGCACUGGUGAAAUACCACUCUGGUCCUCUUGGGCAUCUAACCCACACCCGUGGAUCCGGGUGGGGGACAGUGUCUGGUGGGUAGUUUAACUGGGGCGGUUGCCUCCCAAAGAGUAACGGAGGCGCCCAAUGGUUCCCUCAGCCUGGUCGGCAACCAGGUGGCGAGUGUAAGUGUACAAGGGAGCUUGACUGCGAGACUGACGGGUCGAGCAGGUGCGAAAGCAGGGACUAGUGAUCCGGCACCACCGUGUGGAAGGGGUGUCGCUCAACGGCUAAAAGGUACCCCGGGGAUAACAGGCUAAUCUUCCCCAAGAGUCCGUAUCGACGGGAUGGUUUGGCACCUCGAUGUCGGCUCGUCGCAUCCUGGGGCUGGAGUUGGUCCCAAGGGUUGGGCUGUUCGCCCAUUAAAGCGGCACGCGAGCUGGGUUUAGAACGUCGUGAGACAGUUCGGUCCCUAUCCGCUGCGCGCGUUGCAGACUUGCGAAGGGCUGUCCCUAGUACGAGAGGACCGGGACGGACCAACCUCUGGUGUGCCAGUUGUCCUGCCAAGGGCAUGGCUGGUUGGCUAUGUUGGGGAUGGAUAACCGCUGAAAGCAUCUAAGUGGGAAGCCAGCUUCUAGAUGAGGUCUGCCACCACCAUCGAGUGGGUAAGGCCCCCCGCAGACCACGGGGUUGAUAGGCCAGAUGUGGAAGCCCGGUGACGGGUGCAGCUGACUGGUACUAAUCGGCCGAGGGCUUGCCCACC